rnacentral:rRNA from 1 species
AUUGAACGCUGGCGGCAUGCCUUACACAUGCAAGUCGAACGGUAACAGGUUAAGCUGACGAGUGGCGAACGGGUGAGUAAUAUAUCGGAACGUGCCCAGUCGUGGGGGAUAACUGCUCGAAAGAGCAGCUAAUACCGCAUACGACCUGAGGGUGAAAGCGGGGGAUCGCAAGACCCCGCGCGCUUGGAGCGGCCGAUAUCAGAUUAGGUAGUUGGUGGGGUAAAGGCCCACCAAGCCAACGAUCUGUAGCUGGUCUGAGAGGACGACCAGCCACACUGGGACUGAGACACGGCCCAGACUCCUACGGGAGGCAGCAGUGGGGAAUUUUGGACAAUGGGCGCAAGCCUGAUCCAGCCAUGCCGCGUGCGGGAAGAAGGCCUUCGGGUUGUAAACCGCUUUUGUCAGGGAAGAAAAGGUUCUGGUUAAUACCUGGGACUCAUGACGGUACCUGAAGAAUAAGCACCGGCUAACUACGUGCCAGCAGCCGCCGUAA